CCCUUAGAUGUUCUGGGCUGCACGCGCGCUACACUGAUGCAUGCAACGAGUUUUCGACCUUGCCUGAAAAGGUUGGGUAAUCUGUUUAACAUGUGUCGUGAUGGGGAUAGACCAUUGCAAUUAUUGAUCUUCAACGAGGAAUUCCUAGUAAGCGCGAGUCAUCAGCUCGUGCUGAUUAUGUCCCUGCCCUUUGUACACACCGCCCGUCGCUCCUACCGAUUGGGUGAUCCGGUGAAUGAUUCGGACCAGCGUGCUGCUCAGAUCCUGCGCAGUGUGCUGGGAAGUCUAGUGAACCUUAUCACUUAGAGGAAGGAGAAGUCGUAACA
rnacentral:rRNA from 1 species